rnacentral:rRNA from 1 species
GACGAACGCUGGCGGCGUGCUUAACACAUGCGAGUCGAACGGAAAGGCCCUGCUUUUGUGGGGUGCUCGAGUGGGGAACGGGUGAGUAACACGUGAGUAACCUGCCCUUGACUUUGGGAUAACUUCAGGAAACUGGGGCUAAUACCGGAUAGGAGCUCCUGCUGCAUGGUGGGGGUUGGAAAGUUUCGGCGGUUGGGGAUGGACUCGCGGCUUAUCAGCUUGUUGGUGGGGUAGUGGCUUACCAAGGCUUUGACGGGUAGCCGGCCUGAGAGGGUGACCGGCCACAUUGGGACUGAGGUACGGCCCAGACUCCUACGGGAGGCAGCGGUGGGGAAUAUUGCACAAUGGGCGGAAGCCUGAUGCAGCAACGCCGCGUGCGGGAUGACGGCCUUCGGGUUGUAAACCGCUUUCGCCUGUGACGAAGCGUGAGUGACGGUAAUGGGUAAAGAAGCACCGGCUAACUACGUG